rnacentral:misc_RNA from 1 species
GAUGAAGAACGCAGCGAAAUGCGAAAAGUAGUGUGAAUUGCAGAAUUCAGUGAAUCAUCGAAUCUUUGAACGCACAUUGCGCCCUUUGGUAUUCCGAAGGGCAUGCCUGUUCGAGCGUCAUUAUCACCCCUCAAGCCCCGGCUUGGUGUUGGACUUAGUUACGGAUCACCAUAACUGGCCUCAAAGAUAGUGACGGCGCCCCAGAGGGAACCGGUACGAGGAGCUUCCAGUUAAGCAUGUACGCGGGACGACUUUGCGGGCGACGGUCUUUUUUCAUUUCUCAAGUGUUGACCUCGGAUCAGGUAGGAAUACCCGCUGAACUUAAGCAUAUCAAUAAGCGGAGGA